rnacentral:lncRNA from 1 species
AGAGACGAGCAAUGCCUUGGCUCUCAUCAAUGACUUUGCUUCCAAGCAUUGAAAACAUUUCAAAACGGUUUGGUCUCGGGGACAGAGUUUUUCCUUGGAUUUGGUUUUGAAGAGAUGUGCUUUGGUUUGGUUCUGAGUCAUUUCAGUUUUUCUUGCCGCGUCGUUGUAUUUUCUAUCUACGGGUCUUCAUAGUUGAAGCAUUUGGUGUUUAUUUUUAUCAGUAUUUCAAAAUAGGAAAAUAUAUGGACUAUCUCAAAUAUUGGAAUAUGGCAAGCUUUGGUUGAGAGACAGAAUAUAAAAAAAAUUUAAUAAACGCUGGU